UCCGGAGGGUGCAAUCGUUAAUCGGAAUUACUGGGCGUAAAGCGCACGCAGGCGGUUGGAUAAGUUAGAUGUGAAAGCCCCGGGCUCAACCUGGGAAUUGCAUUUAAAACUGUCCAGCUAGAGUCUUGUAGAGGGGGGUAGAAUUCCAGGUGUAGCGGUGAAAUGCGUAGAGAUCUGGAGGAAUACCGGUGGCGAAGGCGGCCCCCUGGACAAAGACUGACGCCCAGGUGCGAAAGCGUGGGGAGAAAACAGG
rnacentral:rRNA from 1 species